rnacentral:lncRNA from 1 species
UUAAUUGUGAUUUUAUAUUUGUAAAGUGUAAUAAUAAAUAUAUUUUUUCAUUUUUAAGUAAAAUAACAAAUUCAAUUUAUACUUAUAUUUAUUAUAAAACUAGCAAGUUAUUAUGUGUAUAUUCGAAUUCGAACUUGAAUUUGAAGCUCGCGAGUAGUUUGAAUAAAUAUUCGAGUCGAGUCGGAUCGAAUUCGAGUAAUAAAUAUUCGAGUCGAGUCGAGUCGAAUCUGAGUAGGAUUUUUCAAAUAUAAUUCGAAUUCAAGCCGAAUUUGAAUACGAAUUUAUCAUUUCGAGUCGAAUUCGAGUAGCUCUCUGUUCGCUUCGGUUCGACUCGUUUACACCCUUAGUCGCCAUAGACUAGAAUAUAUAGCUGUAGCGACGGGUGAUGUAGUGAAUCGUAUUUUUCCUGAAUGAAUAAAUUAAGAGUUUACCAGAAUUUUUUUAUUAUGUGUUAUAUAUAUAUUGUAUAUAUUAUCAUGUGCAGUAUAAUAUGUGAUGUGGUGAUAUGUCAAAUAUAAUAAUUGAUAUUUAUUAUAUUUAGUAGUUACCCUCUACUUUAACAGAAAAUGAUUUAUGGAUAUUUUAUCCAAAAUUUUUGUAAUGUAUUUUAGUGUAUCUAAAAUAUGUUAUAAAUGGUGCAAUAAAUGCAGAAAGGGGAAGUAAAUGUUAUUUUCUCACCAACCACAGCCUUAAGAGUUAAAGCUUAACAGUAGAAAAUCAAAACUCAGCUUAGUGGUUAGAUACGUGGCUUUUAAUAUGAGAUAAUGACUCAGUAACUUAGCAUGUGCUGGCAAUCAUUUAUUAACAUAGCUCUACAAUUCAGCUUGUCUAUAAUGUGAUUAGCCGAGCUAGUAUGCUUAUAUAGCACAGUUUUAAAUUCUUAAGGUCAGUUUCUCUCUUAAGUAAAACACAAUUAGUGGUAUACAAACUCUGAAAUUUCUACGAGCUGGGCUAAGCAAGUAAGAGUUAGAAGGAUAUCAAAAUUUGGGGUUAGUAAGUAAGAAGAGCUGAAACAAAGCUGAAGCCAACGACACAGAGAUACAGAAAUUAAAGGUAAUUUUUCUUUAUACAGUAGAGUAAAGUUAUAUAUAUAUGAAAGAAGUGUGUAAUUGAUGAUUCGUUUGGUUGAUAAAAGUCUAUAUGAGAUAUAUAUCUGUGAUGCUGGGAUUAAAUGGUUGAAUAAAUUUAACUGGUAGAGUAAUUGGUAAGUUUAAUUUUUAUAACAACCGAUCAUGCAUGGGAUAUUGAAACUCACUGUUUGUUAAUAUCAAACUUUUAAAUUAAAGGAAGGCUAAUAUGUAUUUGUCUAUUUUGUUUACGGUAAAUAUGUUUGGCUAAACUGUGAAAUAAACUAUUUGUGGCUGGAAUAUUGAUUAAUGGAGAUAUGUUGGUUGUGGAGUAAUAAGGAAGCUAAACUGGGGAUUUAAAGAAAAUAAAUAGCUAUGACACAUGUGUUGUAAAACAGUGCCUGUAAAGUGUUUGAUAAAAUUCCUUAAUGAACUGUUUUGCUUAACAAUUGCUUAUUUGUCAGAAUUAAAGCUUGGGUUAUAUAUAUAUACCAUGAAUAAGGGUAAGUAAACUGUUGUGCCUUGUUAAAUGGAAUGAAAACUAAAUUUUUUAAAGCUAAAACUAAAUGCUAGAAUUUAGCCUGGCAAGCAUUUUUACUCACUGUUUUGGGGCAGUCAGUUGGCACCAAGUUGAUUGCAUAUCAUGUGUAAUGAUUAUAGAUUGCAUGUUAUUUUAAAAGGUGGAGUGUAUUAAGUAAAUAUUUCUAAGAAAAAAUUGUGAAUAACUUACCAAAUGGUUGCCAAAGAUGGCAUAGAAUAAGAACAGGGCUGCUGCCCACGGUAGCAGCCAUGGCUAUUUUUGGCAUCAGGUGGGGGCCUUCCUUGAGCUCUUAUUUAGUGCAGAUAAAUUCUAAAAUAGCCCAGCUGAUAUUGCUCUGUAAUGAGAGUAAAUACCAGUUGUGUAUUGUCCAAAACAAAGUGUAAAGGGGUCAUUAAUGUAGGGGUUAAAGCUGAGUAAGGCACUGGACGGACUGCUGCCUAUGGGCUGCAGCAGUUGAUGUCAAAAGAUUAUCUUAAUAACCUUUAGUGGAGGUACCCAUUAUAUUAUUUUUAAAACUCCAUAUAAACAAGCCAAGAAUGUAAGGAAUAAAAGUUUAACAAGGUAGUGGUUAAGAGAAGGGGGGCUGCUGCCUAACGGCAGCAGCAGUUGGCUGUUUUGGGCAAUACACAAGGGGUCUUCCCCUGCUCUUGUGGAUGUUGAAUAGUAAUAAACCAUAACGGUUGAUUAAUACUUUCUUAAAGGGGUGGGUACACCACCAAUUUGAUAUUCAAAAGGUAACAACACAUGGACCAAAAAGGUGAGAAUUAUGAUCUCUUAAAAUAAGGAAUUGGGGAAAAAGGGACUGCUGCUUAAUGGCAGCAGCAAGCAGUUGCUAUUGUUGCAUUGGUAAGCCAUUUUUGGCGUUGUGUUGUAAUUCGAGAGUUUACUCCUAACUCUUAACUUCUGGAUAUAAUAUAUAUAUAUAUAUAUAUAUAUAUAUAUAUAUAUAUAUAUAUAUAUAUAUAUAUAAUAUAUAAUAAAACCAUAACUUAAUUAGAUGGGUAAUGAAAAAAACAAGAAAGAAUUUGUAACGAAAUAGCAUAUCAGAAUGAGUCUAUAAAUCAUGAAAAAUACCACGGAAUAACCAUACAAGUGGAAUUAUCUUUGAUGUAAAAGAUAUACUAUCAAGUUACCUUGUGAAACAUGAAAUACCUUAGGUAUUCACCUUGAAUACCUAAGUUAUAAAGAAAAUUGCAAACUAUACUUGUGGCAAAUGAAAGAAGUAAAAGAAAUAUGAACUAAAAUCAUAAAAAGUUCAUGAACAGAAAUUAUGUCAGACCCUAUAACAGAAAGAAAAGGCUAUUGUAAGAACAUGAAUGAGAUAUGUGAAAAAAUGUAAAUAAAUAUCUCAAGUAUAAGAAUAUAAACUAAAAACAUGAUCACUGUGAUUAUGUGAUAUGUGAAUAUACAAGCUAUAUGACUUGGCUAUUUGGCUAAUAUGGUUGUGAAUGCAAAUAAUUAUGUAGGAUCUGUGAGAAUACACAAGUGAGAAUACACAAGUUAAGCUGAAAAUUGUACAAAUAGUCUACAAACAAGGAAAUUAUCUAAAUCUUACUCUUUAUUGAGCAAGUAUUUUGAGAUUAUUCAUAUGUGGACAGGUUUUUUAAAUUCUGAACUGUCUUUCUUUAUUAUAAAUAUUAUAAAAUUGAAUAAUCUUUUUAUUCCAAUCAGCUUCAAAAGAUUGGAUAAUGUAUUAUCAUGUAUAUCAAAUAAAAUUCAAUAUACAUGAACAGGUUGCAAAGAAGUCUGAGCCAUUCAUUCUGGCCAGACACAGAUGUAAAAUAUUUCAAUUUCUUUAUAUUAAGUCUUGAAAUAUUAUUGUGCCAUGAUUUAAGUUGUCCAGCUAUAUUGUUGUAGUUGGAAUCUAAAACUGAGAAUGAACAUACCCUUAAAUGGGAUAUUUUUAUUGCACUCUGGGAGUGGUGAUGUAGAACAUGAAAAUUGUUCUGGAAAAGAUAGUAUUGAUCAAUACAGGGCAUAAAGGGCUGAUCACCCUACGUGCUCGUAAGUUAAGACGAUUGUUCAUCUGAUAAAAUUUCUGAUUGAACCUUUUCAAGAAAAAGAAAAAUAUGUACAUGGUCUUAAAACCUCUCAGUUAUUCAAUAUUGUUAUGAUAAUCCAGAAAUGUGAAUGAUUUGAGAUUCGUUGCUUUACAAUUUUAAUUCACUGUCAAAGCAUGCUUCAAAGAAAAUAUUUAUUUCUUGUUAAGCUUUAAAAAAAUGCUAUUACUUGCGGAGCAAUUAAAUGCUCAUACUUGUUUAUUUAUAAAUGUUUUCAGCUGAGCAGACUCGGGCGGAAGGGUCUAGAAAAGACAAGAAAAAAGGAGAAAUAAUAGAAUAGCUGAAAGUUGAUGUAAUAGAUAGUUUUCAUGUUUGUAAAUAUUAAACUAUCAUGUAAUGAACGUUUAAAGGUCUACGUACCUGGGAUUAAAAGAACUUUGAUGUAAUAACUUUACUAAAUAUUGGUUUAUUAUAUUCUGAACAUUUUAUAUCGUGAGCACUGAAUAAGGGUUUCAAGUACCCGAAUUUGGGGGCGUCACAGGUGAACCGUCACUAUAAUCCAAA